ACAGUCUUUUCGACAUGGAUUGCUUUUUCAAUAUAUUUUCUUUACUUGACAAGAAUUCCUUCGAACAUGGAUCGGUUUUUCACUUGUAUAAUGGACAUUUAUUUCCUUGACGAUGACAACAACAAAAUCACAGAAGUAUUAAUGUCCAUAUCGAGAGCCGAAGUGGGAUUCAGAAGCAACAAUUUCUUUUUCUUCGAGAAGCAAGCGGUUUUAAGUUAUACUCUCGAAUUCAUCACACAAUUAAUUGGAUUCAUUAUAAUAAGAAGUAAAUCUAUCAUAAAUUAGUGCGUAUCCCACCGAACAUGUCACUGCUUUGUGACUUCGUAAACGAAAAAUUCUGUUCGAU